AUUUAUUUAGUAUAAAAUAGUACAAUUAACUUCCAAUUAAAAAGUUUAUAAUUUUAAAAUAAAUA
rnacentral:tRNA from 1 species